GUCUUUAGCAAAUUUUCUUAAUUAAAUUUAUAUACAAAGAAAUAAAAUUUUAAUUAUAUUUAUCAUUUUAUUCUAAUAUAAUUAUAAUAAUAUCUAUCAUUUUAUCACAGUUGAUGCUUCGACUUUAACCACAGCCACCACCAUAACCGGAGGACCUAAUCAUUCUGAUGCAAAAUUACACCCUAAAGAGUUAGAGAAAGACAUGCUUUCGAAUGCAUUAUAAAACAGCUCAAUUUUCAGGGAGAGAACUGGGUCCUGAUGGUACACCUCCAAGACCUUUUCGGACAGAGUUUUCCCAUUCUAUAUAAUGGAACACUUGUUUUUAUACUUUAAAACAUAGGAAAUAAAUUAAAAAUGUUCUUGUCCUUUAGAACAUUUAAUUUUAUUUAAUUAAGAACCUUUAUAUUACCAGUUUUCUUGAUUUAUUUUU